CCUGGCUCAGGAUGAACGCUAGCGGCAGGCUUAACACAUGCAAGUCGAGGGGUAUAGGAAGCUUGCUUCCUAGAGACCGGCGCACGGGUGCGUAACGCGUAUGCAAUCUACCUUUUACAGGGGGAUAGCCCAGAGAAAUUUGGAUUAAUACCCCAUAGUAUUAUAGAAUGGCAUCAUUUUAUAAUUAAAGUCACAACGGUAAAAGAUGAGCAUGCGUCCCAUUAGCUAGUUGGUAAGGUAACGGCUUACCAAGGCGACGAUGGGUAGGGGUCCUGAGAGGGAGAUCCCCCACACUGGUACUGAGACACGGACCAGACUCCUACGGGAGGCAGCAGUGAGGAAUAUUGGUCAAUGGACGCAAGUCUGAACCAGCCAUGCCGCGUGCAGGAUGACGGUCCUAUGGAUUGUAAACUGCUUUUGUACAGGAAGAAACCCUCUUUCGUGAAAGAGAUUGACGGUACUGUAAGAAUAAGGAUCGGCUAAC
rnacentral:rRNA from 1 species